rnacentral:tRNA from 1 species
CAGUAUUUAGUUUAAGAUUAAAAUAUUUCAUUUGGGUUGAUGUGAUUGUUUGCUGAC